rnacentral:rRNA from 1 species
UUAAGCGACUAAGCGUACACGGUGGAUGCCCUGGCAGUCAGAGGCGAUGAAGGACGUGCUAAUCUGCGAUAAGCGUCGGUAAGGUGAUAUGAACCGUUAUAACCGGCGAUUUCCGAAUGGGGAAACCCAGUGUGUUUCGACACACUAUCAUUAACUGAAUCCAUAGGUUAAUGAGGCGAACCGGGGGAACUGAAACAUCUAAGUACCCCGAGGAAAAGAAAUCAACCGAGAUUCCCCCAGUAGCGGCGAGCGAACGGGGAGCAGCCCAGAGCCUGAAUCAGURUGUGUGUUAGUGGAAGCGUCUGGAAAGGCGCGCGAUACAGGGUGACAGCCCCGUACACAAAAAUGCACAUGCUGUGAGCUCGAUGAGUAGGGCGGGACACGUGGUAUCCUGUCUGAAUAUGGGGGGACCAUCCUCCAAGGCUAAAUACUCCUGACUGACCGAUAGUGAACCAGUACCGUGAGGGAAAGGCGAAAAGAACCCCGGCGAGGGGAGUGAAAAAGAACCUGAAACCGUGUACGUACAAGCAGUGGGAGCACGCUUMGGCGUGUGACUGCGUACCUUUUGUAUAAUGGGUCAGCGACUUAUAUUCUGUAGCAAGGUUAACCGAAUAGGGGAGCCGAAGGGAAACCGAGUCUUAACUGGGCGUUAAGUUGCAGGGUAUAGACCCGAAACCCGGUGAUCUAGCCAUGGGCAGGUUGAAGGUUGGGUAACACUAACUGGAGGACCGAACCGACUAAUGUUGAAAAAUUAGCGGAUGACUUGUGGCUGGGGGUGAAAGGCCAAUCAAACCGGGAGAUAGCUGGUUCUCCCCGAAAGCUAUUUAGGUAGCGCCUCGUGAAUUCAUCUCCGGGGGUAGAGCACUGUUUCGGCAAGGGGGUCAUCCCGACUUACCAACCCGAUGCAAACUGCGAAUACCGGAGAAUGUUAUCACGGGAGACACACGGCGGGUGCUAACGUCCGUCGUGAAGAGGGAAACAACCCAGACCGCCAGCUAAGGUCCCAAAGUCAUGGUUAAGUGGGAAACGAUGUGGGAAGGCCCAGACAGCCAGGAUGUUGGCUUAGAAGCAGCCAUCAUUUAAAGAAAGCGUAAUAGCUCACUGGUCGAGUCGGCCUGCGCGGAAGAUGUAACGGGGCUAAACCAUGCACCGAAGCUGCGGCAGCGACRCUUAUGYGUUGUUGGGUAGGGGAGCGUUCUGUAAGCCUGUGAAGGUGUGCUGUGAGGCAUGCUGGAGGUAUCAGAAGUGCGAAUGCUGACAUAAGUAACGAUAAAGCGGGUGAAAAGCCCGCUCGCCGGAAGACCAAGGGUUCCUGUCCAACGUUAAUCGGGGCAGGGUGAGUCGACCCCUAAGGCGAGGCCGAAAGGCGUAGUCGAUGGGAAACAGGUUAAUAUUCCUGUACUUGGUGUUACUGCGAAGGGGGGACGGAGAAGGCUAUGUUGGCCGGGCGACGGUUGUCCCGGUUUAAGCGUGUAGGCUGGUUUUCCAGGCAAAUCCGGAAAAUCAAGGCUGAGGCGUGAUGACGAGGCACUACGGUGCUGAAGCAACAAAUGCCCUGCUUCCAGGAAAAGCCUCUAAGCAUCAGGUAACAUCAAAUCGUACCCCAAACCGACACAGGUGGUCAGGUAGAGAAUACCAAGGCGCUUGAGAGAACUCGGGUGAAGGAACUAGGCAAAAUGGUGCCGUAACUUCGGGAGAAGGCACGCUGAUAUGUAGGUGAAGUCCCUYGCGGAUGGAGCUGAAAUCAGUCGAAGAUACCAGCUGGCUGCAACUGUUUAUUAAAAACACAGCACUGUGCAAACACGAAAGUGGACGUAUACGGUGUGACGCCUGCCCGGUGCCGGAAGGUUAAUUGAUGGGGUCAGCGCAAGCGAAGCUCUUGAUCGAAGCCCCGGUAAACGGCGGCCGUAACUAUAACGGUCCUAAGGUAGCGAAAUUCCUUGUCGGGUAAGUUCCGACCUGCACGAAUGGCGUAAUGAUGGCCAGGCUGUCUCCACCCGAGACUCAGUGAAAUUGAACUCGCUGUGAAGAUGCAGUGUACCCGCGGCAAGACGGAAAGACCCCGUGAACCUUUACUAUAGCUUGACACUGAACAUUGAGCCUUGAUGUGUAGGAUAGGUGGGAGGCUUKGAAGUGUGGACGCCAGUCUGCAUGGAGCCGACCUUGAAAUACCACCCUUUAAUGUUUGAUGUUCUAACGUKGACCCGURAUCCGGGUUGCGGACAGUGUCUGGUGGGUAGUUUGACUGGGGCGGUCUCCUCCUAAAGAGUAACGGAGGAGCACGAAGGUUGGCUAAUCCUGGUCGGACAUCAGGAGGUUAGUGCAAUGGCAUAAGCCAGCUUGACUGCGAGCGUGACGGCGCGAGCAGGUGCGAAAGCAGGUCAUAGUGAUCCGGUGGUUCUGAAUGGAAGGGCCAUCGCUCAACGGAUAAAAGGUACUCCGGGGAUAACAGGCUGAUACCGCCCAAGAGUUCAUAUCGACGGCGGUGUUUGGCACCUCGAUGUCGGCUCAUCACAUCCUGGGGCUGAAGUAGGUCCCAAGGGUAUGGCUGUUCGCCAUUUAAAGUGGUACGCGAGCUGGGUUUAGAACGUCGUGAGACAGUUCGGUCCCUAUCUGCCGUGGGCGCUGGAGAACUGAGGGGGGCUGCUCCUAGUACGAGAGGACCGGAGUGGACGCAUCACUGGUGUUCGGGUUGUCAUGCCAAUGGCACUGCCCGGUAGCUAAAUGCGGAAGAGAUAAGUGCUGAAAGCAUCUAAGCACGAAACUUGCCCCGAGAUGAGUUCUCCCUGACYCYUURAGRGUCCUGAAGGAACGUUGAAGACGACGACGUUGAUAGGCCGGGUGUGUAAGCGCAGCGAUGCGUUGAGCUAACCGGUACUAAUGAACCGUGAGGCUUAACCUU